GGUAAGAUGGCUGAGUCAGGCGGUAGAUUGUAAAUCUAUUUACGAGGAAAAAUACCUCUCUUAUCA
rnacentral:tRNA from 1 species